GGCUUGAUGAGAACAAACCCUGUCCGUUGGAUCAUCUUUGGGCGCCUUAUGAUUUGUACAAGCCCCGUCAGCAGGGGAAAUUGAAGUUACAAACAUGGCAGCAGCAGUUGUUGGGUUUGGGAUUCUCUAGUGGUGGAAGUAGCACAAAUUUGAUUGAAUUGUCCAGUUAUUUCAUUUGAUUUUUUUAUUUUUUUAUUUUCACAAAAAAAAAAAAUUAAUAUUGGAUUUUCAAUUAGGUUUGUACAGAUUGAUUAAUUUGGUGGGGGAUACAUUUUAUGGAAUUAUUUGGAGUUCCAUUGAUUUGGAACAAUUUUGGGAUACAUUGGCUUAUUGUAUUUACAAAGCAAAUUAUGAAUCUUUAUUUGUUUCAACAUUGGUUGGUAUUGAAUUCGAUAUUGUGUUAUUCAUUUGCUCGUCAUUAUUAUAGUUAGCUCAAGACCAGAAAAUUAUUGUAUAUUUUAUAUAACAUUUAUAUAAGAGUUCAACAAUCGUCCGACUGUAUGCAAAUUUCGUUGCAAGCUUCAUAUAAUUUCGAAUGCAUAUUUCAUUGUAAAUUUCAUAUGCUUUCG
rnacentral:lncRNA from 1 species